rnacentral:misc_RNA from 1 species
AGCAGGGGGAUUGCACAGUACUUGACUAUUUAAGAGAAUGUAUUCUUUUUAUAGAUUUCUAUAGCAAGGGGUGUGGGGACAUUUAAUGUCACCUGCUUACUAAUCAGAUAUUACUUUAAUAACUUUAGUCAAAUUUAUGGUUAUUAUUAUUAUUUACACAUAAAUUCUUUCUUGCUUUAGAGCUUGCUUAUGUUGGAACUCGUAAUUGUUGUUGAUAUUUCUU